rnacentral:rRNA from 1 species
AUUAAACAUGAGAGUUUGAUCCUGGCUCAGGAUGAACGCUGGCGGCGUGCUUAACACAUGCAAGUCGAACGAAGC